UCUCGUUUACUACUUCAAAAGGAUUUUUAGUUCCUGAUGAGCAGCACAAGUAGCUCAAUUAAAACUCAUCUUGACAAUUAUAUUUUAAUAUUUCACUUGCAAUGUUUAAUUUAAACGGCUAUGCAAAAAAAUUGCAUCUUCUCCUCAACCUGUUGAUUUGGACCAAUGUGAUCAUGGACGGGUAUACCGUUUUAGGGAAUAUCGGCGUGACUCAAACAGCUUCUCAAAAUAAGCUAAAUUCCCAAAAUGGGAAGCCUCGAAAUCUUGCGAAUUUUCUAAGCGGAGGAAAUAAUUUGGGAAACGGUGGAUUACAGAAUCAGCAUGGUUCUGGUCCUUAUUUUUGCGGGCCAAUGGUUGGGCGUCAUUAUAUGGUUGGAAGUCAAAAUUUUUGUGGAGGAUAUAAUGUAAACGACUGUUCAGCAUUGUGUUUUUUCAACAAUUUUACAUAUUUCCAAUGCGAGGGUAACAUUUGUCAUUGUUUUCAAUAAAUUAUUCUGUGACAUAUACAAAAA